UGGUCAACUAGAGUACUGUAGAGGGUGGUGGAAUUUCCAGUGUAGCGGUGAAAUGCGUAGAGAUUGGAAGGAACAUCAGUGGCGAAGGCGGCCACCUGGACAGAUACUGACGCUGAGGAACGAAAGCGUGGGGAGCGAACAGGAUUAGAUACCCUGGUAGUCCACGCCGUAAACGAUGUCAACUAGCCGUUUGUGUCCUAGAGACGUGAGUGGCGCAGCUAACGCACUAAGUUGACCGCCUGGGGAGUACGGCCGCAAGGUUAAAACUCAAAUGAAUUGACGGGGGCCCGCACAAGCGGUGGAGCAUGUGGUUUAAUUCGAUGCAACGCGAAGAACCUUACCAUCCCUUGACAUCCAGAGAAGCGACUAGAGAUAGACGUGUGCCUUCGGGAACUCUGUGACAGGUGCUGCAUGGCUGUCGUCAGCUCGUGUUGUGAAAUGUUGGGUUAAGUCCCGCAACGAGCGCAACCCCUAUCCUUAUUUGCCAGCGCGUAGUGGCGGGAACUCUAAGGAGACUGCCGGUGAUAAACCGGAGGAAGGUGGGGACGAUGUCAAGUCAUCAUGGCCCUUACGGGAUGGGCUACACACGUGCUACAAUGGCAGGUACAGAGGGCAGCAAUACCGCGAGGUGGAGCGAAUCCCACAAAGCUUGUCGUAGUCCGGAUUGGAGUCUGCAACUCGACUCCAUGAAGUCGGAAUCGCUAGUAAUCGUAGAUCAGAAUGCUACGGUGAAUACGUUCCCGGGCCUUGUACACACCGCCCGUCACACCAUGGGAGUGGGAUGCAAAAGAAGUGGCUAGUUUAACCUUCGGGAGGACGGUCACCACUUUGUGUUUCAUGACUGGGGUG
rnacentral:rRNA from 1 species